rnacentral:rRNA from 1 species
AUUCCAGCUCCAAUAGCGUAUAUUAAAGUUGUUGCAGUUAAAAAGCUCGUAGUCGGAUUUUGGCAUCACGCCGCACUGUCUGCCGAUUGGUAAGUACGGUUUGGCGGGUGCUUCCUUCCGGUGCUGCGUUCUGCUCUUAGUUGAGCGGUUCGUUGGUUCCGGUUCUUUUACUUUGAGAAAAUUAGAGUGUUCAAAGCAGGCCUAUGCUCUGAAUAGGUUAGCAUGGAAUAAUAGAAUAGGACUUUGGUUCUAUUUUGUUGGUUUCUAGGACCGAAGUAAUGAUAAAUAGGGACAGUUGGGGGCAUUCAUAUUCCAUCGUCAGAGGUGAAAUUCUUGGAUUUGUUAAAGACGGACUACUGCGAAAGCAUUUGCCAAGGAUGUUUUCAUUG